UCCCUACCAUCUCACCAGUGCACCCAGGUCACCUGAAACUGAAGGGCAGCCAGGGCUGCCUCUCUGCCCCUCUCCCUGCCCCAUGUUGGAAAGGGCAGCUCUCCCUGUGCUCAGGCUGGUGCCAGCAACCAGGCAGAACUCAGUGCCAUUUGAUAUCAAACCCUCUCACACUCACAGCAUGGCCAGGCAACAGCGGAUAGUGUGCCCCAGUCAGCUGACAAAGGAGUCCUCCUUCUUGAUCUUCUACAGGUAGGAUGCAAUCCCUGUCAAAGCUUAAGGGGACACCAAGUGUGUAACUCAGAACUUCACCUUCAAAUGUGCAUGGCAACUCUCUCAGGUUUAUCGAGACACUUGAAAGACCCUCAGUGAAGGGAAGGUCAGGACUGUGGGAGAAAUGGACCCAGAUGACAAACUGAAGUCCAAAUUUCCAGCAAGGUAUCGUUCUGAGCUGCUGGCACCACAAGUGUUUCAGAAAAGCAACAGCAGCCCUUCAAGAGCCCUGCAAACCUUCCAGCACCUUGAAAACCUGUCAUGCCUCUUUGGCUUCUCAGAGUUUAAUAAAGCUUGAUUUGUGUUGAAAACUCCAACUGAAACCAGGUCAAAGAUUUUGACUGGGAGGUCUCCUCACACCUGCCAAUGUGUGCACAGACCCAUGGAGAGCUGCCAGAAUCAAAACAGCUGAGUUAUGGCUCUGCACUGGCCCACAAACACACUCAGAGUGUCCCUACAGUCAUAGAAGGGGUAACUUUUUUUGUCCGCAAUGCAUGUGGCUUGAGAACACCUCCCAGAAAAGCAUGAGAACCAAACCCUAGAAUCUCAAUGUUAUCCAUUGAGAAGUCAUUAAGGGAGCUGUGGGAAAGAGCCGCCAAUAGGAAGUGUAGUUCAUUCUUUGUGCCCAUCUGUGCUUUAAAUAUUCUAAUAGGCUGUGGAAUGCAGUGGAAAUGUUUCAAACAUGGCUACAUCUCUACUGGGAAGCCCAAUGGCAAAAAGCAAUCUUCUCAUUUCACAGAAGAUACCAAAAAACCCUGAAAACAUUUUUCUGUCCUUUUAGGUCAUGACUGUGCUCAAACAUGUGGUGUAGAGGUCUCUCAUUAUUUCCAUGUGCAACCAUCCAGUCUGAUGCAGCUUUGAAAACAUAAAAGCAUGAUCAGGAAUUCUAUGGCAGUAUGAAAUUUCAAGACAUCUCCACUAAGUCAUAAUAAUAAGACUGUGUAUCCCAUGAAUUUAAUAAAAGAUGAUCUUAAUAUCAGGUAUUCCCACUCCUCUCAUGAGCUACUCCAUCCGGUGUGUAGGAAUAGAGUACAGCAAUUGAGGAAAAAAAUGCUAAAAAUACUAACAAAUACUAAGGUUUGCUUACUCUUGGUCUUCCUAACUUCAACAACAGAAGCAAUUAAAGUGCAUCAAUCAGGACAUUUUUUUCUGUGACUGGGAUAUUCUCCAGUGUUUUUAACAGCUUGCAAAUUCCUAUGACUAUAAUCAGACUGAUCCCACUGUGCUCUCUGUCAGAUACCACAACGGCUAUAAUCUGGCACCUGCUUGGUACAAAGCUUGGAAGUGAGCCUGGGUGCCCACAGAAUAAAAAUUAAGCAUGUUCGCUACAGAAGGGGAGGAUCAGAGGGAAUUUAGGAACACUAGUGACAGCCUUUUUAUUUCCCUCUCAGCAAGAGAGUCCUGGCUAAGACAGGUCAGAAAACAGUGCUAUUGUUCUGCCUUAAACAUCUCUCUUCCAGA